rnacentral:rRNA from 1 species
UACGGAGGGUGCAAGCGUUACUCGGAAUCACUGGGCGUAAAGGGCGCGUAGGCCGGCUAAUAAGUCAGAGGUGAAAUACAACGGCUCAACCGUUGAACUGCUUUUGAAACUGUUAGCCUAGAGUGUGGGAGAGGCAGAUGGAAUUGGUGGUGUAGGGGUAAAAUCCGUAGAGAUCACCAGGAAUACCCAUUGCGAAGGCGAUCUGCUGGAACACUACUGACGCUGAGGCGCGAAAGCGUGGGGAGCAAACAGGAUUAGAUACCCUGGUAGUCCACGCCCUAAACGAUGGAUGCUAGUUGUUGCGGCGCUAGUCGUCGCAGUAAUGCACUUAACAGAUUAAGCAUCCCGCCUGGGGAGUACGGUCGCAAGAUUAAAACUCAAAGGAAUAGACGGGGACCCGCACAAGUGGUGGAGCAUGUGGUUUAAUUCGAAGAUACGCGAAAAACCUUACCUGGCCUUGACAUGGUAGGAAUCCUGCAGGGAUGCGGGAGUGUCUAGCUUGCUAGAAACCUACACACAGGUGCUGCACGGCUGUCGUCAGCUCGUGUCGUGAGAUGUUGGGUUAAGUCCCGCAACGAGCGCAACCCUCGUCCUUAGUUGCUAACGGUUCGGCCGAGCACUCUAAGGAGACUGCCUUCGCAAGGAGGAGGAAGGUGAGGACGACGUCAAGUCAUCAUGGCCCUUACGGCCAGGGCUACACACGUGCUACAAUGGUUGGGACAAAAAGAUGCAAUACCGCGAGGUGGAGCUAAUCUCAAAACCCAAUCUCAGUUCGGAUUGGAGUCUGCAACUCGAGGGCAUGAAGGCGGAAUCGCUAGUAAUCGCGGAUCAGCAUGCCGCGGUGAAUACGUUCCCAGGCCU